UACGUAGGUGGCGAGCGUUGUCCGGAUUUACUGGGCGUAAAGGGCGUGCAGGCGGUUUGUUAAGUGCAGGGUGAAAGCUCCCGGCUCAACUGGGAGAGGUCCUUGCAUACUGGCGAACUCGAGGGAGGCAGAGGAAGGUGGAAUUCCCGGUGUAGUGGUGAUAUGCGUAGAUAUCGGGAGGAACACCUGUGGCGAAGGCGGCUUUCUGGGCCUUACCUGACGCUGAGACGCGAAAGCGUGGGGAGCGAACCGG
rnacentral:rRNA from 1 species